GACGAACGCUGGCGGCGUGCUUAACACAUGCAAGUCGAACGGAAAGGCCCUGCUUUUGCGGGGUGCUCGAGUGGCGAACGGGUGAGUAACACGUGAGUAACCUGCCCUUGACUUUGGGAUAACUUCAGGAAACUGGGGCUAAUACCGGAUAGGAGCUCCUGCUGCAUGGUGGGGGUUGGAAAGUUUCGGCGGUUGGGGAUGGACUCGCGGCUUAUCAGCUUGUUGGUGGGGUAGUGGCUUACCAAGGCUUUGACGGGUAGCCGGCCUGAGAGGGUGACCGGCCACAUUGGGACUGAGAUACGGCCCAGACUCCUUCGGGAGGCAGCAGUGGGGAAUAUUGCACAAUGGGCGGAAGCCUGAUGCAGCAACGCCGCGUGCGGGAUGACGGCCUUCGGGUUGUAAACCGCUUUCGCCUGUGACGAAGCGUGAGUGACGGUAAUGGGUAAAGAAGCACCGGCUAACUACGUG
rnacentral:rRNA from 1 species